rnacentral:rRNA from 1 species
AGAGUUUGAUCCUGGCUCAGGACGAACGCUGGCGGCGUGCUUAACACAUGCAAGUCGAACGGUGACGGAGGAGCUUGCUCCUCCUGAUCAGUGGCGAACGGGUGAGUAACACGUGAGCAAUCUGCCCCUGACUCUGGGAUAACUUCGGGAAACCGUAGCUAAUACCGGAUAUGACGCGCGAAGGCAUCUUCUGCGCGUGGAAAGAAUUUCGGUCAGGGAUGAGCUCGCGGCCUAUCAGCUAGUUGGUGAGGUAACGGCCCACCAAGGCGACGACGGGUAGCCGGCCUGAGAGGGUGACCGGCCACACUGGGACUGAGACACGGCCCAGACUCCUACGGGAGGCAGCAGUGGGGAAUAUUGCACAAUGGGCGAAAGCCUGAUGCAGCAACGCCGCGUGAGGGACGACGGCCUUCGGGUUGUAAACCUCUUUUGUCAGGGAAGAAGCGAAAGUGACGGUACCUGAAGAAAAAGCACCGGCUAACUACGUGCCAGCAGCCGCGGUAAUACGUAGGGUGCAAGCGUUGUCCGGAAUUAUUGGGCGUAAAGAGCUCGUAGGCGGUUUGUCGCGUCUGCUGUGAAAACGCGAGGCUCAACCUCGCGCCUGCAGUGGGUACGGGCAGACUAGAGUGCGGUAGGGGAGAUUGGAAUUCCUGGUGUAGCGGUGGAAUGCGCAGAUAUCAGGAGGAACACCGAUGGCGAAGGCAGAUCUCUGGGCCGUAACUGACGCUGAGGAGCGAAAGCGUGGGGAGCGAACAGGAUUAGAUACCCUAGUAGUCC